rnacentral:rRNA from 1 species
CUGGUGAGUAACGCGUGGGUGACCUACCUUGAGGAUGGGGAUAGCUGUUAGAAAUAGCAGGUAAUACCGAAUACGUUCACAAUAUUAUGAUUAUGUGAAGAAAGGAGCUACGGCUCCGCCUUGAGAUGGGCCCGCGUCCCAUUAGCUAGUCGGUGAGGUAAAGGCCCACCAAGGCGAAGAUGGGUAGCCGGCCUGAGAGGGUGAACGGCCACACUGGGACUGAGAUACGGCCCAGACUCCUACGGGAGGCAGCAGCUAAGAAUAUUCCACAAUGGACGAAAGUCUGAUGGAGCGACGCCGCGUGGAUGACGAAGGCCGAAAGGUUGUAAAAUCCUUUUGCGGAUGAAGAAUAAGCGGUGGAGGGAAUGCCAUCGUGAUGACGUUAGUCCGCGAAUAAGCCCCGGCUAAUUACGUGCCAGCAGCCGCGGUAACACGUAAGGGGCAAGCGUUGUUCGGAAUUAUUGGGCGUAAAGGGCGCGUAGGCGGCCGCGUAAGUCUGAUGUGAAAACCCCGGGCUCAACCCGGGAACUGCAUUGGAAACUGUGCGGCUUGAGUCACGGAGGGGAAAUCGGAAUUCCUGGUGUAGGGGUGAAAUCUGUAGAUAUCAGGAAGAACACCGGUGGCGAAGGCGGAUUUCCAGCCGAUGACUGACGCUGAGGCGCGAAAGUGCGGGGAGCAAACAGGAUUAGAUACCCUGGUAGUCCGCACUAUAAACGAUGCACACUAGGUGUCGGGACGAGCGUCUCGGCGCCGGAGCGAACGCGAUAAGUGUGCCGCCUGGGGAGUAUGCCCGCAAGGGUGAAACUC